rnacentral:lncRNA from 1 species
UCCUGGGAUUUGGUGCCCCCAUAGUGGAGGUUUUGCACCAAUGUCGGGAUCUAUCUGCAGGUACAGGAAAUUCCCCUUCAACAUAUGAAUAAGAUUUUUAUGGGGAGGAUGGACAAGUGUUGAACCAAGUUGCUGUGAAGUCUCCAUCCCUGGCGAUACUUGGAGCCUAUCAGGACAUGCUCCUGAGCAGCCUGCCCAAGGUGCCCCAGCUCAGAGAGCCAUCCCCUCCCGAGGGUCCGGUGAGCUCCAGGACACCCAGUGUCUGCCAAAACCUUCUGCCUGUCCCCAGCCAGAGACACAGGCGCCUUGGCUCUGAUGGAAAACAGGAUGCUGCUGCUCUGUGGGCCCUUGCUGUGACCAUGCUGAAAGGUGGUGUCUGAGAGUUUAGAAAAGGUGUGAAUAUUGGAUGUAUCUUGUAGUUUAAAAACUCAAAGAAGAGAAGCCAAAAUGACCAGGCGAAGGGAUCCAACCCAGGGCAGAUGCUGUCCUGUGCAGAGCAAGGAGAAGAACCUGGGAGUCUGUGUGGCUGGAAGCUAACCCGCAGGUUGGGAGGGGUGUGUGUGUGCAUGCACAUGUGCACAAAAGGAAAUAAGGUAUAAGAAGAGAAAAUAUGUUCCUUGUUGAGUGCAAAGUCCUUCCCUCAAUGUUCACUGCCAUCCUCUGUCUCCGUUUUGGGUCGGUACAUUACAGGAAGCAGGUGUUUAUGGGAUGGUUCUGAACCCAAUGCCUAAAAAAAACCCUUUACUCAGC